GUAGCUGACCUCACAAUGAGUGCCAUACACUCACCAUAGAGACAAGAUAGUCAACAGCAUGCAUACUACUGCCCUAUGGAAAAUCCUGUAAGACAUUGAGAUAAAUGGAUUUGUGCCUUUCUACCUAAGAGUAGUGGAAAGGAUGUGCACUUCUUCUAAUCCAAGGAUGGGCUUCUAUAGAUGUUUCAUCAUGACAGAUCCCCAGCUGAUGACAUAAUUUUGAAAUAUUUUAGAGCCUUUGGGCCAUGAAACCUACCUGACAGAAAUGAAUCGUGAAGAGUGAGCCUUGAAAGUCAUAUUCUGGGUCCACGAAGGUCUGAGGAACUGUUGCCUCCUCUGCUCCUGUCAUUAAGGAUGGAGCUGUCCCAGCUGUCCUGCCUUCUCCACCAUGAAAAACUGUAUUCUUAAACUUGUGUGCCCAAAUAAGUACCUACAGCCUGAAGUUUCUGGUGUCAGGUAUUCUGUCAUAGCAAGAAAGUCUCUACACAUCCUAAAUACUUUGCUGGAUUGUUGGAACUCAGGAGUGAAAGAGACAGAAGACAGAAUCUGCCAACUGAACAGUCAUUCAAGAAGACAAAUGGUAAAGGAUGAGGAGCUGGCACCAAAAUCAGCAGUCAGUCAAACCAUGAACUCAACAUAGCUCCAUCCCCAAGGCAACCAUAAGGAAUGAGAACGUUGCAGAUGUCAUUAGGACUAUGAGUUCUAUCACUCCUAGCCUGUAUGGACUCCAUGGAUCCAAAAUCGUGGAAUGGAGAAGAAAAGGGGAUGGAAUCAGUUCCUUCAUAGCGAGCCAGUGCUGUGUGUUUCUCCAGGCAAAAUCAUUGUCCCAAAGAUGAGUGAUCUCGAAUGUUCUACUUAACAGAUGUGAGCCAGCUCCUACGUCUGUUAUCAGCAUUCUGUUCUCCUUCAGUGCCUCUCCUUCUACUAUAACUGGAAGACCACAUUUCCCUCUCCCACUGAGUCCAAGGAAUUUGUCUCUGUCCCACCUGAAUAUUAUAAAAAAAAAAACAAAAAAAAACAACCCCCCC